UGAUCAAUGCUGUGUUUGCCAAGAUC
rnacentral:piRNA from 1 species